rnacentral:sRNA from 1 species
UUUCAAACUGCCCAGACAGUUGGACAGGACAUAGACACACAGAAGAAAAGAAGACAAAGAACAGGUAGGAAAAUUAAAAAGGUGACCAUGGGGAAGAAAGUGGCCAUCAUUGGAGCUGGCGUGAGUGGCUUGGCCUCCAUCAGGAGCUGUCUGGAAGAGGGGCUGGAGCCCACCUGCUUUGAGAAGAGCAAUGACAUUGGGGGCCUGUGGAAAUUUUCAACAGAGUUUCUCUCUUGUUGCCCAGGCUGGAGUGCAAUGGCACAAUCUCAGCUCACUACAACCUCCGCCUCCUGGGAUCAAGGGAUUCUCCUGCCUCAGCUUCCCGAGUAGUUGGGAUUACAGGUGUGUGCCAUCACGCCCCGCUAAUUUUUGUAUUUUUAGUAGAGAUGGGGUUUCACCAUGUUGGCCAGGCUAGUCUCGAACUCCUGACCUCAGGUGAUACACCCACCUCAGCCUCCCAAAGUGCUGGAAUUAUAGGCAUGAGCCACCACUCCUGGCCGGCCAUAUCUUAUACACAGUGAUCUUAACCAAAGCCUCAUACUCAAACUUACUUUGCAAGACGUUGCUGAGGAUAGAACGCACUGCUGAUAUGGCUAUUGAGAGGAACACAGCCAAAGACAGCUAAUUUGUCUUUCUUGCUGCUUGAGGAAGACUUUAAAAUUUGAACCUGGCAUCACAGGUUGAUAAAACUGAACUGCAACAUGUGCUACCCUUCAAGAAAAAGAAAGGAUAGCCCAGAGGGUAGAGCCUCAGGCCCUGAGGGCAGAGGCCUGAGCCACAGCCUUCAAGCCUAAUGGAAUUUGUCCUGCUGGAUUUCAAAAUUGCUU